rnacentral:rRNA from 1 species
CACGUAGGCACCAAGCGUUGUCCGGAUUUAUUGGGCGUAAAGAGCUCGUAGGCGGUUCGGUAAGUCGGGUGUGAAACUCUGGGCUCAACCCAGAGCCGCCACCCGAUACUGCUGUGACUUGAGUUCGGUAGGGGAGCGGGGAAUUCCUGGUGUAGCGGUGAAAUGCGCAGAUAUCAGGAGGAACACCAGUGGCGAAGGCGCCGCUCUGGGCCGAGACUGACGCUGAGGAGCGAAAGCGUGGGUAGCAAACAGG